rnacentral:rRNA from 1 species
AGUGAACGCUGGCGGUAGGCCUAACACAUGCAAGUCGAACGGCAGCACAGUAAGAGCUUGCUCUUACGGGUGGCGAGUGGCGGACGGGUGAGGAAUACAUCGGAAUCUACUUUUUCGUGGGGGAUAACGUAGGGAAACUUACGCUAAUACCGCAUACGACCUACGGGUGAAAGCAGGGGAUCUUCGGACCUUGCGCGAUUGAAUGAGCCGAUGUCGGAUUAGCUAGUUGGCGGGGUAAAGGCCCACCAAGGCGACGAUCCGUAGCUGGUCUGAGAGGAUGAUCAGCCACACUGGAACUGGGACACGGUCCAGGCUCCUACGGGGAGCAGCAGUGGGGAAUAUUGGACAAUGGGCGCAAGCCUGAUCCAGCCAUACCGCGUGGGUGGAGAAGGCCUUCGGGUUGUAAAGCCCUUUUGUUGGGAAAGAAAAGCAGCAGGUUAAUACCCCGCUGUUCUGACGGUACCCAAAGGAUAAGCACCGGCUAACUUCGUG